ACUGCCAACUGAACACCUAGGUUUCCCUUCACCUCCAAGAGCCGAUGAGAACCCCCCCGUUCUCCUCUCCUGGAGAGGCUGGAGGAAUUCCCACAAAGGCCUGCUAUUUAGGGCCAACCUUGGGCUUCUGAGAAACCAGGCUGAACCCAACCGUCUGGGGAGAAAGUUGCUCUGAAAACCCAGUGACUGCCUCCUUCACUGGCAAGAAAUGGACCAGACAACCUACAGAAAUGUUCUGACACCGCUCACCUGAGGGGAAGAGUGGAAACAGCCCACCUGUCCCAGACAGAUGACAGGUGCAGCCACCGCGGUGCAUUCAGACUAUGGGAUGACAUAUAGCAGUCAGACGAGUCGCCAGAACUGCGGACUGGAACAGCAGCUGUUCCAUCAACACUUGGUUCUGUGUGAGACCACACAGAAAAUCGAAUACUGAUGUAAAGGAGAAAAGGUGCAGGGAUGUGAGCUGUGAGGUCACGAGCUGUGCUCUGGGCAGCCCCUGCCUAGGCGCUUGCUCCUCGAACCUCAGCUUCUUCAUCUGCCCGCCGGG